rnacentral:hammerhead_ribozyme from 1 species
ACUUGUUGACGAGUGCCAAACAGCACGAAACGCGGGUCCAGAGU